GUCCUCUUGCCUUUUCCUAGUCUGGAUUCUAGUUACCCGCUGGUUAUUGCCCUGGAGCUCAACAUUCACCUCAUUCUCACCUCAUCCCCCUCCGAACCGGGGCAGAGGGACGUUGUGGUGAAUGCAGAGCCCGUCGCCGGGUGUGGGAAACGCACUACUACGAGGUCCACGCUCACGUCGUCUCACAGAGACGUCUCACUCAUCACACUCCGGGAUCCCAUCCCCGACCGAGGGGGCCCCGCUGCCUCCGAACGGGGCAACCUCAGUAGCCCCGAAGGACCGCUGAAAGGGCACACUCAAUUUGCUGCCUCGUGGAAUAACAAUAAUAUUGUUUUGCACACAUUCCCC